GACGAACGCUGGCGGCGUGCCUAAUACAUGCAAGUAGGACGCAGUUGCGAACGGGUGAGUAACGCGUAGGUAACUGCCUAUUAGAGGGGGAUAACUAUUGGAAACGAUAGCUAAUACCGCAUACUAGUAGAUGGACCUGCGUUGUAUUAGCUAGUAGGUAGGGUAAUGGCCUACCUAGGCAACGAUACAUAGCCGACCUGAGAGGGUGAACGGCCCAACUGGGACUGAGACACGGCCCAGGAUCCUACGGGAGGGAGCAGGAGGGAAUCUUCGGCAAUUGGGGGAACCCUGGCCGAGCAACGCCGCGGGAGUGGAGAAGGUUUUCGGAUCGUAAAGCUCUGUUGUUAAGGAAGCGGUACUUAACCAGAAAGGGACGGCUAACUACGUGCCAGCAGCCGCGGUAAUAC
rnacentral:rRNA from 1 species